rnacentral:rRNA from 1 species
UCUGGUGACUAUAGAGUAGAGGUCACACCUGGUCCCAUACCGAACCCAGAAGUUAAGCUCUACUUCGGCGAGCAUAGCCGUCUGCAUAGGCGGUGAAUCAAGCACGUUGCCAGUU